UUAUAGCUGGACUUCUGUUGGUGAAUUUUUAAGUUCUUUAUUGUUGUUUUAGGGGUUAAUGUGAUUUUGAUGCGCGGACGAGUUAACAUAGAGACAAUAUGUAACAGAUAAAAUUACAUUAUUAUGAAAUAGAUUUUUUUUUUCAUCGCGAAAAGAGUUUUCUAUCAAAGCAAAUUUUGUUUAUUUUAGGAUAUCUAUUAGCUACUGUAUUCUUUUUCUGAUGUCUACAGAAAUGUCUAGAAAACGUCAGGUUACGUAACAGAUUUGAAGAUCAAAAUCUAGCUGUUAAUUCUCAACUUGCUGAAUGUGCAAGUUAUUAAAAGAGACAGACCGCAAACAUUCACUGCCGCUGUAAAUCUCUGGUCGUCGGGGACCCUCAGACGCCCGCUUCCUGUAGGAAGUUUACAGUCCAAAUAUGGGCAUCGUGACGUGGCGUUCCUCUCAGAGGGAGCGUGAGUUGCCCCGCCCACUUUAUCUGGACUGCAGCGCAGAGGCGCGUCCUCGACACUCGCGAGAAACACCUGCUAAACAAGCGAACAGGACAGAAAUCCACACACAAUGACAAAAUAACAUCUACUGAAUCCCAAAUUGAAAUAAACAUACAGAAAAUGCUUUUUUAAUGGUAUUAUAAUAGUCAAUAAUUAGUUUAAACGCCGGUCUCCUAAACCAGGUCAAUAGGUUAUUCAUCGUUUGGAUAUUUAGACUCAAAAUGCAGGUUCUGCAGUCAAAUUAGAGGCUUUGUUUCACAAACCACUGCGGCUCUAGGGCUUUACAGAUGUAGAAUAGUGAUGCUGUAUGUAAUGAUAAUGUAGCUAUAUAAUGAUGCUCCAUAAUUAGGCCUAUACAUUUAACGUGAGCUAUUAAUGAUUCUUAAGUAUGUAAAUAAUGUAUUUAAGGUACGUCAGUAAUUUUAGCAGCAUAUUUGUACUUUGUAUAGUCACUUCCCUGCUAAAAACAACAACAAAACAAUAGAAGCCCAAUAGAAACCAUCACAGAAAUUCAGAUGGUUUCCAUUAAAAUACCAUUAAAACCAUUAGCUUUUUCCAGUAAAACCAUUACAAAAUUCAUUUUGUAGUUUGUUUUGGGCAUUUUUCCAAUAGGAUUUAACAUCCCACCAAUAGAAUCCAUCACAUACCAGUAGACACCAUUAUAGUUUCCAUUAAAACCAAUACAAUUCCCAUCAUAACCAUUAAAUCCAUUACAUUUUCUAUUGUGUUUUGGGCAGCGUUCUAUUGUUUUUGUCAGCAGGGUUUGAGGGAAUAUCAUGUUUUCACAGACAGAAAUGGAGUCCUAGUCAGUCGCUUUAAGGCCUUUUGAGUUUGUUUGAUGUAGGAAAGUCAUAUUAAACAGCAAGGGCAGUACAUUGACAUGAAUCAGAGUGAUAUUUGAUCGUUUUGGUCUUCUCAGGUAGUUCAGAGACGUUCGGCUGACGUCCCGCUCCGCACCUGUGCUGCUGUGUGUUGUUCAGUAUGCCAGGCUUCAUUUCCACCCACCUGAAAGCAGCUCGGGAGUUAAUGUAACCUGUCCCAUCUGUCCUAGAGCUUCAUGAGAUCAGGGGCGGUUGGAUGUUCACGGUAAUACUGAUGGAGCGGGCAGCAUGUGUGUGUGUGUGUGUGUAGGUGUGUGUGUGGCACUGUGCCAUGAGGACACUGGCACAGCAGUGGCAGAAGCAUCAUGAAAAAUCCCACACAGAUGGAUGAACCUGUGUGUGUGUGUGUUAUGAGGCCAAGGUCAGUGUGCUGUUGUUGUUUACCUGGAUCGCGGGUGGUUGGUACAUGCAGUUCUCUGGCUGACUGUUUAUUUUAUUCAGAUGAAGGGCAGCAAGUCUCAUUCUACCCAAAACGCCUGCUUUGGCCCUGAUUUCCAUCAUUUUUACACAAAACAUAUGUUCCUUUAUACUUUAGAAAUGUAUUUUAUUACUGUUGACUAUAGUCAGUAAUAACCACUAUCAAUCGUAUGUGUGUGUUUAUGUGUGUCUAUGUGUGUGUGUUUAGGUUGACAUGGAUAUGAGCCAGUAAAAAUAAUGUAAGCCGAUCCUCCGUGUGUGAGAGAUCUGCCUGAGGCCAGAUCACAUUUACGGAGAACACAUUGGUCAUUUGAUGAUGGUGACUCACGUUCACCUCUGGUGUCAGGGCCAAUCAGGGGUCAGCGAGUGCAGACAAUCACAGGUCUCCCCUCAGACUCGACUGUGCCUCUGCGUCAGCAGGAAAACACAAGAUGUUUGCUCGAGAGGCGCUGAAGAGCACUGGACACCGAACCAGCAGUCAGCAGAAAAACAAGGGCUGGCGGCCAACCAGACAGACGGAGGGUUAGAGAGGUCCAAAGAGCCAACGCUUCACUGAAACUCACACACAGAAGAGCGUUUGUAAGAUUGUAAAGACAGAAAUACACUGACCUGCAGUGACCACACAAAUGGAGCAAUUAACAGCCUGUUAAUGAUGAGUAAUGUCCAUCUCACCAGCUAUUUCUGUGCAAAAUAGUCCACUUUUAACCUCACCAAUCUAUUUUUAAUCAAUAAAAUAUAAUUAUAAUUAAUCUUUUCACUUGUUCAUGGGUGUCUUAGCUCCAGAGGAGCUUACAAACCUUAUUUUAUUGGAGAUUUGAAGCAUAUUUGAAAACCACAAGGUUUUUCAAAAGAUGAACUUCUUUUAAAUUAAAGGGAUACUCCACCCCAAAAUGAAAAUUUUGUCAUUAAUCACUUACCCCCAUAUCGUUCCAAACCCUGUCCCAUUGACUGCCAAGUAAAUUACAUGGUCAAGGCACAGAAAAGUAUAAAAAAAAACCAUCGCCAAAAUAGUCCAUCUGCCAUCAGUGGUUCAAUCUGAAUUUUAUGAAGCGACGAGAAUACUUUUUGUAUGCAAAGAAAAUAAAAAUAACAAGUUAAAAAUAAAAAAUAAAAAAAGUCAACUUUUAAAAAACGCAUCUCUUGCAUUUUUCCAUUAUACUAUAGUAGAACUAUAUAUAUAUAUUUUUACAAUACAAAAAUGUUCACACAGAACUAGGUUUGAGUUCAAAAGCGCUGCUUUUCCAUUCAUUUUUUUCUAUGUAAACACGUGCUAUGGUGGGCUUCAGCUGUUGCGCUCGUGUCUUUUGCCGCGCCUUAUGCGUUCUAAAAACGAAGCACUCAAGUUAAAAAAAAGAAACGUUGUUCUAGACUUUGGACAUUUUUUUCCACUCUCGCGUUUUUGCGUUCCACUGCGCUGUUGUUCCAUUUGUUUGUCUCGGGUGUGUCUCACGCGUCCUGAAAAGUGAAGCUACGGGCUCUUUGAUCGCCCCCUGGUGGCUGGCUGCAGUACAGGUCAUAAACCCCGCCCUCUCCAUGUAAACAAAUGGGACAUCAGUCAGAAUAAAAAAAAAAAAAAAUUACACUUCCAAUACAAUUUUCCGAAAUAUGGUUUUGGUCAUUUAAGGUAGUUGUUAUCACGCUGAUAUAUGUUUAAUUGUUAGUUUUUGUGAUAAGUUUCAUUUUAGCUAGUAAUUUGAUGCUAUAAAAACGGGGCGUGUCGUUAUGGUUGAUUGGGUCUGCGGGAGUUUGGGCAGGAGUUUGAUUCCGUGGCUCCACCUUACGACACUACUGCGCAGACUCUGGCUCCUAACGAAUCUCUACUGCGCAGACACUGGCUCCUAACGAAUCUCUACUGCGCAGACACUGGCUCCUAACGAAUCUCCUAACGAAUCUCUACUGCGCAGACUCUGGCUCCUAACGAAUCUCCUAACGAAUCUCUACUGCGCAGACUCUGGCUCCAAAUGACGUAAUUUUCUCAAGAUGGCAGCGGCCAUACUGAGCUGCAUUCGCUUCACUUUUCUAUAGUGGAAGGAAGUAGAGACACGUCGUCCAUCUUUUUAUACAGUCUAUGGUUUUUCUAUGUAAACUUGCUCUAGACUGACAACUUUGACGAUUGGUCACGCGUCUUUUGUAGUCUCACUCAUGACACGGAACUCCAAAAAGUUAAAAUAAGUUAAAAUAAGUUCUCACAUUCCAAGAAAGACCCUUUUCUCCCAUUUAUCCACACAUCUCCCAAGGGUUUGGAACAAUCUGUUUGUCUGAGUGCAGACAAGAUUAAUUGAUCGAGGUCUGUUUUUGACAGGUGAUCAUUCCAGUCUGAGGAAUCAUCCGUUCAUUCCAUUCAGGGAAUCCCAAUGUGUCUGCAGGAAAGAGGGGUCACGACCUUCGUGCGGAGGCUGACGUCAUAAUUCAUCUAGAGGGCGAGAUAAUGAGCGAUGAUGAAGAACUGAUAACGAGAGAGAGAUAUAAAUAUGACGAUGAAGCUCCUCAAAACCAGAUGGUAAACACACUCACAUACACAUCCUGCUGCUGAUCAGCAUAAAGCACGCGUUUUAUCAGUCUGCUGUCAUGGAAGAAUACUUUUUUUCUAGUUCUUUGGAAAUCAUCUGAUCUGGUGCUGAUCUGAAGAACCAAGGAUAUUAUUCCUUUCCAAACAUCUAUAUCAGAGCCAAAAAUCGUUCUUGAUCUGAAGAAGUUUCUGCCGAACCUAAUGAACAAUAGACAUAGCAUUAUUGUAGGAGUGUGUGUGUUUUUUCCAUACUGUGCUUAACAGACCAAGGAAUGAAGGCAUUUCAUAACAUGUUUAGACACAGAUCGGCUCUCCGUGAAGCAGUUUACAUGAGCAACACCUCUGCCCAGAGCAACAAGCACACAAUAAUGUCCUGCUUUAUUUCAAAGUCAUCCAUAGAGAAUACAUAACUCCUUACAAGAGGUUUAAAAUGAAACUGCAAUCGACCUAUAACGGUCAUAUCUGUAACACUGUAUCAGCAGGUACUUUUCUCCACAUGUUUUGGGAAUGUCCGAUUGUUGUCAGUCUAUGGACUCAUGUGAAUUCUGUUUUGUCCUUUUUACUACAAAUUGAAACUGAAAUUGUUGAUUGUGUGUCUGUUGCUCCCCACCUCCCUGUUGUUUGUUUGAGUGGAUGUUGUUUUGUUGAUUUGGAGAAAAUAAAAAGUUGAUCACAAAAAAAUAAAUAAAAAUAAUGUCCUGCUUU